UGAGGUGUGGGCAAAACCCAGGCUGGUGUGGGAUUACACAAUCCCAAUUUUCUUGAAAAAGAAGCAAACUUGAUGGCAUCAUCAGCAGGUGCAAUAUAGAGAAUCACUCAAUUUUCUCCAUUUCUCAGAGCAACCUGAUGCCAUUGUCUGUGUUAUCAAAUAGAUGAAGGUUUCUUGAUGCUUAUCCAGUUUGAAUGUUCAAGCACCACGUUGCUGCCGGCAUGUGGUUAACGACCACUAUUCACUUUAUAUGACUUGGUCCAAAACAAUAAGUUCUUGAUACUUUCUUUUAUUUACGAGAAAAUUUAUAGUUGUUAUCCGACACUUCAUUUCAUUCAGGUGAAGUCUAUCUUGUGAUCUUAGCUGGCAAAUGAUCACAAAAGAGGUAUCUAGGUUGUUCAUAAAGGUCAAAAAGGUGUUGGCUGCCAUCACUAAUGACAUGUGAAAAUUACGACCUAGUAAUUAAGUUUUGGUUUUACUUU